rnacentral:rRNA from 1 species
CAUGCAAGUCGAGGGGCAGCACGAAGAUAGCUUGCUAUCUUGGGUGGCGACCGGCGCACGGGGUGAGUAACGCGUAUCCAACCUGCCCAUUACUCUGGGAUAGCCUUGCGAAAGUAAGAUUAAUACCCGGGAUGUUGUUUGAUUGCCGCAUGACGGUNAAACCAAAGAUUUAUUGGUAAUGGAUGGGGAUGCGUGACAUUAGGUAGUUGGUGAGGUAACGGCUCACCAAGCCUACGAUGUCUAGGGGUUCUGAGAGGAAGGUCCCCCACACUGGAACUGAGACACGGUCCAGACUCCUACGGGAGGCAGCAGUGAGGAAUAUUGGUCAAUGGUCGGAAGACUGAACCAGCCAAGUAGCGUGAAGGAUGAAGGUUCUAUGGAUUGUAAACUUCUUUUAUACGGGAAUAAAACGUCCCACGUGUGGGAUCUUGUAUGUACCGUAUGAAUAAGCAUCGGCUAACUCCGUG